rnacentral:rRNA from 1 species
UACAGAGGUCCCAAGCGUUUGUUCGGAUUCAUUGGGCGUAAAGGGUGCGUAGGCGGCGCGGUAAGUCGGGUGUGAAAUCUCGGAGCUUAACUCCGAAACUGCAUUCGAUACUGCCGUGCUUGAGGACUGGAGAGGAGACUGGAAUUUACGGUGUAGCGGUGAAAUGCGCAGAUAUCGAGGAGGAACACCGGUGGCGAAGGCGGGUCUCUGGGCCGAUGACUGACGCUGGAGGAGCGAAAGCGUGGGGAGCGAACAGGA